UACGAACUGUGCGAACGUUUAUUCGGAAUCACUGGGCUUACAGGGUGCGUAGGCGGCUUGUUAAGUAGGGUGUGAAAGCCCCCGGCUCAACCGGGGAAUUGCGCCCUAAACUGGCGAGCUGGAGUGAGAUAGGGGUGUGUGGAACUUCCGGUGGAGCGGUGAAAUGUGUUGAUAUCGGAAGGAACGCCGGUGGCGAAAGCGACACACUGGAUCUUGUCUGACGCUGAGGCACGAAAGCCAGGGGAGCGAACGGG
rnacentral:rRNA from 1 species